GUCACAUUAACUGAGUGCUGGACUAGGCAAUAUGAAACCUUCCCAAAUGUGGAAAAAAAGAAAGAAAAAAAAAAGGAAGUAUACCAGUACCACAACCGAGGAAUACAGGGAAUCCUGAGCAAGCGGUAUUAUGAGGAGGCUGCUGGAGACUCGGUACUCUUGGAAAGGAUGUUGUGGACGGAAUGUAUUUCCCCAAAACCUCAUAUGUGGAAAUCGGAUUCUCAGUGUGAUGAUAUUUGGAGGUGGGGCCUUUAAGAGGUAAUUAGGUCAUGAAGAAAUGAACUCUCAUGAAUGGGAUUAGUGCCCUCAUAAAAGAGGCUCCAGAAUGCUUCCUUGUCCCAUCUGCCUUGUGAGGAUACAAGAAGGUAGCCAUUUAUGAACAAGGAAGCAGGCCCUCACCAAAUACCGAAUAUGCCAGUGCCUCGAUCUUGUGCUUCUCAG
rnacentral:lncRNA from 10 species